GAUGAACGCUGGCGGCGUGCUUAACACAUGCAAGUCGAACGAAGCACCCUCAUCCGUGGAAGUGAGUAGCUUGCUACGAGCGGACACACCCGAGGGUGACUUAGUGGCGGACGGGUGAGUAACGCGUGGGUAACCUGCCCCAUAGAGGGGGACAACAGUUAGAAAUGACUGCUAAUACCGCAUAGUAAUACAGAUCCGCAUGCUUCUGUAUUGAAAGCUUUUGCGCUAUGGGAUGGACCCGCGUCUGAUUAGCUAGUUGGUGAGGUAACGGCCCACCAAGGCGACGAUCAGUAGCCGGCUUGAGAGAGUGAACGGCCACAUUGGGACUGAGACACGGCCCAAACUCC
rnacentral:rRNA from 1 species